rnacentral:hammerhead_ribozyme from 1 species
AUUCAGGUGACGAGUUCGAAAUAGGACGAAACGCUCGUUCUAGAU